rnacentral:rRNA from 1 species
AACGAACGCUGGCGGCGUGUCUUAAGCAUGCAAGUCGAACGAGAACCUGUUCGUUGGUUGGCUUGCCAAACUUCGAACGGGGGACAGUGGCGAACGGGUGAGUAACACGUGGGUAACCUGCCCUUGGAUGGGGGAUAGCUCUAGGAAACUAGGGGUAAUACCGCAUAAUGUCGUUCUAUCACAAGAUAGAAUGAUGAAAGAUGCCCUCUGUAUAUGGUAUCGUCCGAGGAUGGGCCCGCGGCCUAUUAGCUAGUUGGUAGGGUAAUGGCCUACCAAGGCAACGAUGGGUAGCCGGCCUGAGAGGGUGUUCGGCCACAUUGGGACUGAGAUACAGCCCAGACUCCUACGGGAGGCAGCAGCUAAGAAUAUUCCGCAAUGGGCGAAAGCCUGACGGAGCGACGCCGCGUGGAGGAUGAAGGCCUUCGGGUUGUAAACUCCUUUUCACAGGGAAGAAUAAGGUUAGGAGUAACUGCCUGGCCGAUGACGGUACCUGUGGAAUAAGCCCCGGCUAAUUACGUGCCAGCAGCCGCGGUAAUACGUAUGGGGCUAGCGUUGUUCGGAUUCACUGGGCGUAAAGGGCGUGUAGGCGGCUAAGCAAGUCGGAUGUGAAAUUUUCAGGCUUAACCUGAAAACUGCAUUCGAAACUGUUUGGCUAGAGUAUCGGAGAGGGAGACGGAAUUCCUGGUGUAGGGGUGAAAUCUGUAGAUAUCAGGAGGAACACCGGUGGCGAAGGCGGUCUCCUGGCCGGAUACUGACGCUGAGGCGCGAAAGCUAGGGGAGCAAACAGGAUUAGAUACCCUGGUAGUCCUAGCUGUAAACGUUGUGCACUAGGUGUAGGUAGGUUUAUCCUAUCUGUGCCGGAGCUAACGCAUUAAGUGCACCGCCUGGGGAGUAUGCUCGCAAGGGUGAAACUCAAAGGAAUUGACGG